rnacentral:rRNA from 1 species
GUGAGUCAUCGAAUCUUUGAACGCAUAUUGCGCUCUUUGGUAUUCCGAAGAGCAUGCUUGUUUGAGUAUCAGUAAACACCUCAAAGUCUUCAAUUUGUUUUGAAUGGCUUUGACUUGAGCAAUCCCAACACCAGUCUUUACGAUCGGUGGAGGGUUGCUUGAAAUGCAGGUGCAGCUGGACAUUCUCCUGAGCUAAAAGCAUAUUUAUUUAGUCCCGUCAAACGGAUUAUUACUUUUGCUGCAGCUAACAUAAAGGGAGUUUGACCGUAUUGGCUGACUGAUGCAGGAUUUCACAAGGGUCGGCAACGAUUCUUGUAAAACUCGAUCUCAAAUCAAGUAAGACUACCCGCUGAACUUAA